UUUCACAGCUAUUUGUAAGGCAUCCUCAGACAACCAUUUUGCCUUUUUGCAUUUCUUUUCCAUGGGGAUGGUCUUGAUCCCUGUCUCCUGUACAAUGUCACGAACCUCAUUCCAUAGUUCAUCAGCACUCUAUCUAUCAGAUCUAGGCCCUUAAAUAUAUUUCUCACUUAUAAUCAUAAAUGCUGUGAGGCUUGGCCGAAAAGACCAAAAAGAAAUAAAGAGCCUUUGAUACAUCUGCUAAGGGUCAAACAGGGAGAAAAUUAAGUCUCCUAGCGUCCAAGGUGUUUGCAAGGUGUUUCUCCUAAAACAGAACUUUCUUUUAAUAGUCAACAGAACAACAGCAACUGCAGCGAAACUGCACAGAUUGCUUGGUCCUCAACCGGGGAGCCCUCAGGCCCGCCUUGAACACGCGCAGAGGCGGGGCCCCCCAGGCGCCAAGGAAGGCAGGCCGGAGCCCCGCCCGCACUCCGCGCCCUCCUCUUGCAGUCUCGCUACAACCUGCGUCUCCUGUGAAUAUUUCAGUGUUUACAGGUGUGCUGGUUGCUUCACGCUCCUGGCCCUGCAUCCUAGGAUUUCCUGUGUUGCAGAGUCGCUGUGGGGCUGGUUGCUUGCAGCUGGUGCUAAUAAGGCCACCGUCUGGGUUCAGGCCCCAUCGGGGCCUGUUCACUCUGCUCCGCGGCCAGAGGCUGAAGCUCCGUGUUCACGUCUGGUCAAGGGCACGUGGCAAAGGGGGCGGGCGACCUCUCCGGGAGGAAGUUACUCCUCAUGGUGUCUUCACCGCUGCAGAGGUCAGCACGGUUUUCUCCAGGAUUCUCUUCUCUCUAAGGAGGUAAUCUCAGAAGUCACCUACUCAAAGGGCUGGACGAGAUCCACCUCUCCCUGGACCCCUCGAUGCUUCGGCCCCCACGAAGUCCAGUAACUCAGGUCUUGGUUGGGGCAUGCCGGCUCCUUUAGUCACAGCCUGUGGGAUCUAGUUCCCUGACGAGGGAUUGAACCCGGGCCCCCCUGCAUUGGGAGCACAGAGUCUCAGCCACUGGACCACCAGGGAAGUCCCUGGAAAAAUUUUUUAAAGCAGGGUUUAUAAAUACAGGCUUUGUAGCAGAGGAGGGAAUCACAGAAUUUCCCGUGAAGACACACGCACACGUGUGCAC
ensembl:lncRNA